rnacentral:hammerhead_ribozyme from 1 species
GCACUGAUGAGGAGUCCCAUAAUAGGACGAAGCACUCGUCCAGUGU